GCUUUGGCUCUCUUCCAAUCUAACCUCUUUUUUUUUUUGUCCUUCCCCUCCCCCAUGGGUUUCUGUUAAGUUUCUCAGGAUCCACAUAAGAGUGAAACCAUAUGGUAUCUGUCUUUCUCUGUAUGGCUUAUUUCACUUAGCAUCACACUCUCCAGUUCCAUCCAUGUUGCUACAAAGGGCCCUAUUUCAUUCUUUCUCAUUGCCAUGUGGUACUCCAUUGUGUAUAUAAACCACAAUUUCUUUAUCCAUUCAUCAGUUGAUGGACAUUUAGGCUCUUUCCAUAAUUUUGGCUAUUGUUGAGAGUGCUGCUAUAAACAUUGGGGUACAAGUGCCCCUAUGCAUCAGUACUCCUGUAUCCCUUGGGUAAAUUCCCAGCAGUGCUAUUGCUGGGUCAUAGGGUAGGUCUAUUUUUAAUUUUUUGAGGAACCUCCACACUGACAAACCCUCAGUUUAAUGAAUACAUUUCCACUACCGUGGAGACAUUAUUAGAUUCUAGGUCUGUGAUGGCUGUGACCACAUCUGUCUUAUUUACCAGUGUAUUCCUUUUCCACAUUUCAAACCUAGGAAAAGCACAGAUGAGAGAUAUUUGUUGGCCUGAAGCCAUCCUUACCCACUGAGACCAGCAUCACAUCUCUGUAGAGGUUCUUCUGCACAGAAUCCAGCAAAGACCACUCCUCCAAGGUGAAGUCCACAGCCACAUCCUCAAAGACCACUGAGUCCUGACAUAUUCAAGUGUGUGGAGGAAGAAGGGAUUAGUGGACACUGGAGCUGACCUAACCAUCAUAUCUGAAAAGUUAUGGCCUUCAUCUUGGCCCGUCGACAACGUACCUAGAUACCUGGCUUCCAGCCUGGCGAUCAAAACCACGAUAUGAACAGUUGGACGAAGAGAAAAAGAUUCGACAGUUUUUGACCACUGGAGGAAGAUAUGGAAGAAUUAAGCCUGGAACCCAAGAUUAUAAGGAAGGUAGAAAUAAGAACCAAAAAUACAAUGAGAGCAAAACCUCCAACAUGGGGACAAGUGAAGAUGACUCAAGAAGCCUAACAGAUCCUCCCAAAAAUGGGAACACUUAAGACUUCUACUCUGUUUAUUGCCAUGAUGUCGGUUGUUACUUUAACUGGGAGUGCUAAAGAGAAUCACACAUAUUGGGCUUAUAUUCCAAAUCCACCUCUUAAUAGAUUAAUUGCAUAGGAUGAUCCCUCUUUCCAGGCUUACGUAAAUUAUUCAGUCUGGUUGCCUGGACCUUAUGAUAAUAGAGGUCCAUUUAAACCAGAAGAAGAAGGAAAAGUAAUCCCUGAAUAUUCUGUAGGUGCAGAGGGGCCACCUAUAUGCUUUGGAACAGGUGACCACUGUGUUUCAUUUAUAGGCAUGGAUAGCAGAAAUACCCAAUGGGACUAAUGUCCCCAUACUGUAUUUACUACAAGGGGUCUGCAUGAGAAGUCAAAAAACUACAUACAAUUACCCUCCUAAAUUGCCUCGAUGUCAAGAAAAACCAUAAAUCCUGAGGAACGGAUUAAUUGGGAGCUCUGUAGAGGAGAAGUUGGUAGAGUUCUUCUUAAUACUUCCAAAGGAAACGUCGUCAUUGAUUGGGCCCCUAUAGGCUCUGCUCAGACCAAAUACUCCAAAAAAAGAGCUCUGAUGGUGUCGAUAUCAUGACGACAUCCUUUCAGAUAUAACAUCUGAACCCACUGUAUGGCAUGAAGGAGGGAUGACUCCCCCCCAGCCCACGUUUACCUGAUGGGCCAGUUCAUUCCGAGCUUUGGAAAAUUGGUACUGGAUCAUUACGCAUGUCCUCUUGGAAAGGCUGCUUAAUGUCUCAAGUAAAUUCUCCCUCUCUUUUAGAUUAAAUGAGACUCAUAAAAUUCAAGCGUGUGUCAGACUUCCUUUUCUGUUUAUGUUAGGUAUGCCCCAUUGGGACCCUGAAAACAAUCUUCUUACUUUCCAUGAUUGCUCUUUUUAUACUUGUCUUAAUUCUAUCCCUUUAAACAGGAGAGACAAAGCUUAUAUAUCCUUAAGGCAUGAGAUCGGGUUUGGAUGCCUGUAAUUAUGGAUUGGUCUUGGCAACACUCCCCUGAAAUGUUUCUCAUAGAUGAAAUAUUGAAACGUGUAUUACAUCGCACCUGACGAUUUGUAGCUUUACUGGUAACCGCUGUACUUGGGAUGAUAGCUAUUGCAGCUACAGCUGGUUUUGCGCUGCACCAGACUGUACAAACUACCCACUUUGUACAACACUGGCAUCAAAAUUCAGAAAGACUAUGGAACAGCCAAUGGUUGAUUGAUAGCCAACUAGAGAGCCAAUUAUCUGACUUGCAACAAGCCGUUCUUUUUCUAGGAGAUCAACUGAUUAGUUUACAACAACAGGUAAAGCUUCAAUGUGAUUGGAACAUAACCACCUUUUGUGUCACUCUCCAUGUAUAUAAUCAGUCCAAGAUAUCAUGGGACCUUGUGCAUCGACACCUUCUUAAGGUAAUACCUCCACUGAUAUAGCCCAAUUGCAAAAGGACAUUUAUGAUACAUUCAAAAAUAAACUUGAGAGGCUUUCUGGUGCUCCAUCUAGCUGAGAUGACUAAUUGAAUCUCAGAAUUGAAUCCAAUGAAUUAUACAAAACCUUUAAGCUUUUCUGCGAUUGGUAUUCUUAUAUUAAUCUUUGUCUUAUUUGGAUAUACCUAGUCUGGAGAAGAGGCCAAUGACGAAGCCAAGAAUAUGCCUCACAAGCCUCUGUCUUUGUAGUUCAUCUUUGCCAAAUGAAAGAAAAAGGGGAAGAUGUGGGAGAUGUAGGAGAAAAACAUCAAAGGAAAAGACUUCAAAAGGGAAAGGCUGGAGCAGGUGCAAGGCCUUAGGACAUGUUUUCACAGCUGAACGUGCCUGCUGCUCUUAAGGAAUGCCUUGAGGCAUUAGCAUUGUCCAGGGCCGGAUCCUCCUGCACGCCUGACCCUUCCUGGCUUCAUAAAGAACAAUUAUCUAGAAAUUCAACCUUGAAAAACAAAACUAUUAAGUUGAUUAAUACACUUGCUGAGCUGACUUUAUGCACGUAGCCUUUAGCAGUUUCCCUAGUAAAAGGGGGCUUCAUUCUGGAGUCGGGCCUCAUUCCGACUCGAGUAUGAGGACCUUCACUUAACUGCAUUUUGCUUGCAGACUCUUCUUUUGCGACUCCGGCCAUACUCCCUGCAAC